GAUGAACGCUGACAGAAUGCUUAACACAUGCAAGUCAACUGUGGCGGACGGGUGAGUAACGCGUAAAGAACUGGCCUCACAGAUAGGGACAACAUUUGGAAACGAAUGAUAAUACCUGAUACUGUGAGAGAGCUUUGCGUCCCAUUAGCUAGUUGGAGAGGUAACGGCUCACCAAGGCGAUGAUGGGUAGCCGGCCUGAGAGGGUGAUAGGCCACAAGGGGACUGAGACGCUGCCCUUACUCCGACGGGGGGCAUCAGUGGGGAAUAUAGGACAAUGGGCCAAAGUCUGAUCCAGCAAUUCGGUGUGCAAGAUGAAGUUUUCGGGAUGUAAAGUGCUUUCAGUUGGGAAGCGGUACCAACAGAAGAAGUGACGGCUAAAUACGUGCCAGCAGCCGCGGUAAUUC
rnacentral:rRNA from 1 species